AGGAGCCCACUGCCGAGCGGGGGAGACAGACAGGAGCAGAUGGUGUGGCCGUGGGGCCUGCAAUGGGCCUCACUGAGACCUGAGCUGAGAGAAGGAAACAUCCUGGAGAAGCUGAGACUUCAAGGAGGAGUCGCUUUCCUGGUGAACCCUUGAGGGAGGACCUUCCAGGCAGAGAUUUAGAGACAGACUUCCAACAAGGAAAGCCAGGCCUCUGGCCAAGGACACCCCUGAGCACAGAGCAGAGAGGAGCAGAAACAGGACACUGAAGACAUCCAGGCCGCCCAGACCCACAGACUGCGCCCCGACCCUACCUCCCCUGCAGUUAGUGCAGGAGGAUGGGACAGAGCAAGGUCACCCAUCAGGAUGCUGUCUCUCUAGCGCCCUCUGCCGGGUUCUCAUGAGAAGACCCCCUUGACAGGAGGAGACAAGGGUACCCGUCCAGUGCAUCCCAAGGGAAAGAAGACUAAGACCUAUGGGACAUGCUCAGCAAUAAGGGGAUAAGCAGUGAAUCCUUGAGGGCUGCUCAGGUCUGCAUGAGACAUGCAGAGUCGCAGACCGGAGCCUGAAUCCCAGCUUCCCCAUUAAGUAGUUCCACGAGCUUAGGCCAAUCGCUUCACCUCUCUGGGCUUCAUUUGUCUUACCCAUGAACUAAUCCUUGGUUUGUCCACCUCCUAGAGUCGUUGCAAGGAGCCAGACAGACAGGUGGUGAAGGACAGUGCUGGACAGGUGUGAGACUGCUCUAUGAGGCCAUUCAUCUCAUAAAUAGUUGCUGAGUACCAACGACGUGCCGGGCGCUAUUCCAGUGCCGGGGAUAUGAACGGAUGAGACAAGGCCUUCCUGUGGAGCAAGCAUCCUGGGUGAUCGCAGAGAGAGAAUAAACAAAUACAUAGCGUCGGCAGUAAAAAGCGCUACACGUAGAGAAACAAAACAGAAUAAGAGAUAGGAAGUGAUGCAAAUAGGACUCAAAAUAGGGCACUCAGGGAAGGCCUUAUGAGGAAGUGACCUUUGGGCGAAGAUCUAAAUAAAGCGAGGGAGUGAAGUGUGCAGAUCUCGGAAGGAAGAAUUUUCGGGCAGAGGGGAAGCGAAGGCCAAGGCCCUGAGACGGGAAGUGCUAGGACACACAGCUUUAACUCACAGGGUCGUGAUUAGAACCCUGCUCUGCAUCCCAAGAGCCAGCACUCAGCCCCACUAUGCCCUGCUGGGGGGGGAUGGAAGAAGAGGAAGAAAUGAAGGCAGCCAUCCCAGCGGCAGGGAGCUCCUCCUUCCUGAAGGCGUGUGGGCGGAAGGGGCUGAGCACACGAAGGUGCGGGCGCCUCUGAGCGUUGGGCCAAAGGACCGGAGGUGAGAACACUCAGGUUCCAAGUCCCCC
rnacentral:lncRNA from 1 species